rnacentral:rRNA from 1 species
UCGGGAAUAUUGGACAAUGGGGGCAACCCUGAUCCAGCAAUACCGCGUGUGUGAAGAAGGCCUGCGGGUUGUAAAGCACUUUUAGUAGGGAAGAUAAUGACGUUACCUACAGAAAAAGCACCGGCUAACUCCGUGCCAGCAGCCGCGGUAAUACGGAGGGUGCAAGCGUUAAUCGGAAUUACUGGGCGUAAAGCGUGCGUAGGCGGCUCUUUAAGUCAGAUGUGAAAUCCCCGGGCUCAACCUGGGAACUGCAUCUGAUACUGGGGAGCUAGAAUUUGGGAGAGGGAAGUGGAAUUUCCGGUGUAGCGGUGAAAUGCAUAGAGAUCGGAAGGAACAUCAGUGGCGAAGGCGACUUCCUGGACCAAAAUUGACGCUGAGGCACGAAAGCGUGGGUAGCAAA